rnacentral:tRNA from 1 species
GCAGAUAUAGCUCAGUGGUAGAGCACGUGCUCAGCAUGCACGAGGUCCUGGGUUCAGUCCCCAGCACCUCCA